GAGUUUGAUUCUGGCUCAGGAUGAACGCUGGCGGCGUGCCUAACACAUGCAAGUCGAACGAAGCAUAUAGAAGGAAGUUUUCGGAUGGAAUUUUAUAUGACUUAGUGGCGGACGGGUGACUUAACGCGUGGAUAAUCUGCCUUACACAGCGGGAUAACAAGUGGAAACAGUUGCUAAUACCGCAUAAGCACACAGUAUCGCAUGAUACAGGGUGAAAAGAUUUAUCGGUGUAAGAUGAGUCCGCGUCCCAUUAGCUAGUUGGUGAGGUAAAAGCUUACCAAGGCGACGAUGGGUAGCCGGCCUGAGAGGGUGAACGGCCACAUUGGGACUGAGACACGGCCCAGACUCCUACGGGAGGCAGCAGUGGGGGAUAUUGCACAAUGGGCGAAAGCCUGAUGCAGCGACGCCGCGUGAAGGAUGAAGUAUUUCGGUAUGUAAACUUCUAUCAGCAGGGAAGAAAAUGACG
rnacentral:rRNA from 1 species